AGUAUGCCAGUGGGGGCCCACAAAGGUGCAGGUGUGGCUGAGGGAUUCAUAGAGACACAGAGCCACCCCCACGCCUGGAACCAGUUUAUGACUCUCUUCAUCCAUCCCAACUCUGCAGAUGUUUCCAAUUAAAGACUGCCAUUCACUUUCCCAGAGAGACAAUGACCUGAACCAGCAAGGAACACUGAGAACAAUGCCAGCUUCCUCUUCCUAGGGUUCAUUUCCUCAAUUGAAUAAUUUCAUACUUCUGAAAUGAUUAAAAAAUUAAACAUCGUGUUCUGUCUUUCUGUCAACCUAAGUGUCUUGUCCUGGCACAGAACUCCUACAAUAACCAGGAGUCUUUCCAAGAAGGCAAUUUUUGCCUACCAGUUAAAUGCCAGAC